rnacentral:rRNA from 1 species
UACGUAGGCAGUAAGCGUUGUUCGGAGUUACUGGGCGUAAAGGGUGCGUAGGCGGCUUUUUAAGUUUGGUGUGAAAUCUCCCGGCUCAACUGGGAGGGUGCGCCGAAUACUGAGAGGCUAGAGUGUGGGAGAGGAAAGUGGAAUUCCUGGUGUAGCGGUGAAAUGCGUAGAUAUCAGGAGGAACACCGGUGGUGUAAACGGCUUUCUGGACCAUAACUGACGCUGAGGCACGAAAGCGUGGGGAGCAAACGGG